AGUGAACGCUGGCGGUAGGCCUAACACAUGCAAGUCGAACGGCAGCACAGUAAGAGCUUGCUCUUACGGGUGGCGAGUGGCGGACGGGUGAGGAAUACAUCGGAAUCUACUUUUUCGUGGGGGAUAACGUAGGGAAACUUACGCUAAUACCGCAUACGACCUACGGGUGAAAGCAGGGGAUCUUCGGACCUUGCGCGAUUGAAUGAGCCGAUGUCGGAUUAGCUAGUUGGCGGGGUAAAGGCCCACCAAGGCGACGAUCCGCAGCUGGUCUGAGAGGAUGAUCAGCCACACUGGAACUGAGACACGGUCCAGACUCCUACGGGAGGCAGCAGUGGGGAAUAUUGGACAAUGGGCGCAAGCCUGAUCCAGCCAUACCGCGUGGGUGAAGAAGGCCUUCGGGUUGUAAAGCCCUUUUGCUGGGAAAGAAAAGCAGCAGGUUAAUACCCCGCUGUUCUGACGGUACCCAAAGAAUAAGCACCGGCUAACUUCGU
rnacentral:rRNA from 1 species